UACGGGGGGGGCAAGCGUUGUUCGGAAUUACUGGGCGUAAAGGGCUCGUAGGCGGCCAACUAAGUCAUACGUGAAAUCCCUCGGCUUAACCGGGGAACUGCGUCUGAUACUGGAUGGCUUGAAUCCGGGAGAGGGAUGCGGAAUUCCAGGUGUAGCGGUGAAAUGCGUAGAUAUUGGGAGGAACACCUAUGGCGAAGGCAGCUCUCUGGGACGGUACUGACGCUGAGACGCGAAAGCGUGGGGAGCGAACAGG
rnacentral:rRNA from 1 species